GCAUCAGGAAGAAAGCUUGCUUUCUUUGCUGGCGACCGGCGCACGGGUGAGUAACACGUAUCCAACCUGCCCUUUACUCGGGGAUAGCCUUUCGAAAGAAAGAUUAAUACCCGAUAGCAUAAUGAUUCCGCAUGGUUUCAUUAUUAAAGGAUUCCGGUAAAGGAUGGGGAUGCGUUCCAUUAGGUUGUUGGUGAGGUAACGGCCCACCAAGCCUUCGAUGGAUAGGGGUUCUGAGAGGAAGGUCCCCCACAUUGGAACUGAGACACGGUCCAAACUCCUACGGGAGGCAGCAGUGAGGAAUAUUGGUCAAUGGGCGUUAGCCUGAACCAGCCAAGUAGCGUGAAGGAUGAAGGCUCUAUGGGUCGUAAACUUCUUUUAUAUAAGAAUAAAGUGCAGUAUGUAUACUGUUUUGUAUGUAUUAUAUGAAUAAGGAUCGGCUAACUCCGUGCCAGCAGCCGCGGUAAUACGGAGGAUCCGAGCGUUAUCCGGAUUUAUUGGGUUUAAAGGGAGCGUAGGUGGACUGGUAAGUCAGUUGUGAAAGUUUGCGGCUCAACCGUAAAAUUGCAGUUGAUACUGUCAGUCUUGAGUACAGUAGAGGUGGGCGGAAUUCGUGGUGUAGCGGUGAAAUGCUUAGAUAUCACGAAGAACUCCGAUUGCGAAGGCAGCUCACUGGACUGCAACUGACACUGAUGCUCGAA
rnacentral:rRNA from 1 species